AUGGGGGCCCGCGCCCGGCCCCGCGGACACCACGGACACCAGGGCGCGGGCGGGAUCGGGCCGCCGACCCGGAGCCGAAGUUUAUUUUCCCAACUGUGGCUGAUCCGCGGUCAGGGGAUGGAGGUGGCGGCCGCGGGGACGCGGAAUCCAGCCCCCACCGGGCGGGGCGCGGGCCAGGGCGCGCGGGCGGCGUCUGCGCGCGGGUGGGCGGCCCGGGGAGGGGGUGGGGGGGUCCCGGGGUGGGGGCGACCGGGGGGGCCGCGGCCAGCACGCACCCCGCGCCGCCCCAGGCCCUCCCCGGCCCCAGAGCCCCGCGCUGGGACUCAGUUUCCCCGGCGGCUCCCGCGGGGCGCGGAGGCGUGGACUCACCGGGCGGGGGCGCGGCGCUCGCUGGGGUCGGGCCGGGCCGCGGCUGCCGGGCCCCCGGGUUCCGCUCGGCUCGGCUGGGCGCGCUGCGGGCCGGGCUGGGCUGGGCUGGGCUCCCUCCGCGGGGCGCGCGGAAGAGGAGGGGCCGCCCCGCCCGCCGGCGGCCACGUGGGGGGCGGGCGCGGCCCGGGGCGGGGCCGGGGGGUCCGGGGCUCCCCGGCCCCGCCCGCGCCCUGCGGGUCUGGCUCCUGGCGCGGGGAUGGCGCUGCUGGAGCCGCGGAGCGGGGCGCCCCAGACCUCCCCGUGGCCGCCCGGCCCCGCCCGCGCGCGUGUCCCCCCCCAGCACCCCUGCAGCGAGCUGACGGCCCAGCCACAGGGCUCGGGGCGGGGGGGGGCCCUGCAGACGCGCAUCUGCCCCCCACCACGUCCGAGGACCCCUGUGGGAGACCUUCCCCGCCCCUGCAUGGAGAGCACCGCCUGGCCCCCCCCCUCCAACCCGCGGCCGCCUCCGGGAGCGCCCCCUCCUCUUGCCCUGCCUCAUCAGGCCCGCCAGACUGCUGCACCCUGACGGCGACCCCGACCCGCCCCGCCCGUAGCAGGCUCGGAAACCUGGCUGAGUCGCUAGGGAGAGGCGGCCCCCAGCCCUGGAAGUCCCUUCUGAUAUCUGACCCUCAUUGGAGCUCACAGGGAGCCGAUGGCCCCAGGCCUGCGGGCUGGGGGGGGGGGGUACAGGUGCGUCAGGGGCAGGUGGGGGCAGAGCCCUGA
rnacentral:lncRNA from 1 species